CUGAAGAGUCUCUGAGGAAGAGCUCGUGUGCUUAGAUUGUAAUUCUUUUCUUUUUCUUGGGCUGCGACGUGUUCACGGCCUUGUUGCUUCCACCUCUCUCCACAACAGCUGCUGCCGCUUGGGCUUCUUUCCAUCCGCUGUCCUCUCCCCCGAAAACGGAGUUUUGGGCACGGGCACAAGAGCUCACACAUCACACGCAGGCACGCAUACACAGAAAGCGGGAGUACAUGCAAAACAAAACAAAACCCACGCAAACAUAUAUAGCCGUAUACCGAAGAAGAAAAAGAUAUAUACUUUGGAAGUCACAGAGCGAAUAUACCGCACAGCACGGACAAAUCUUAGUACGCUUCGCUUCCCCAGGAAUCAUCUCGAGACCUGCGUGUUGCGCACUUCUUCUCUCCUGCCCGUUUUUUUUUUCGUUUCCCUUGACCUCGUAUGGUGGGUUGUUUUCCCUUGGCUUUACUCUUGCCGUUUCUUGCACUGUCUUCCGUUUUACUUCCUUCUGUCAUCACCGCUCUGCCACCAACUUUUGGUUGUUCCUUUCGUGACCUUUCGUCGCCGCAUUGUGUGCCCUUGGUUUCUCUCUCCUCGGUGUCACCUCCCUUCCGCGGUCGCUCUCGUUGUUCUCACUUGUUCCCCAUACGCUGUUUCGUCCUUCGAUUUUGUUUCUCUCGGUUUUGAUUUGGUGUUGGUUUCGCUUCUCCGUGGACGCGCACAGACCUACGCAAACCCGCACGCGCAUAGGGAGACGGUUGUGUCUUCCCUUCUUUCUUCCUGCUCCUCCUUCUAUUCCCUUUGACGGUUCUUCUUCAUCUCUUUGCUCGCUCUAUACACCUCAUCAUCGGUGCAUCCAACGCUUCCGCGUAAGUUGCAUACGGAGUUACUCGACACCCCACACCCUUAAGACGGACAGACAUACAUACACACAUAUAUAUAUAUAUAUAUAUGUAUAUAUGUAUAUAUAUAGGACCACCGUCGUUCUCUUCUUUUUCCUCUAUCUUCUUCAGCGGCACAAAAAAGACAUCGACGCGCGCACGUUUGCUGUGCUCCUCCUUUUGUGUCUCGCUGCGCCGCGUGGCACACACAUACGCACACUAACGAAAAGAAAAAACCCGCUGGUGUUCCUUUUUUUGUACAUUUCUCUUUCAGUCUUCUGCUACACUCCUCCGCCCUUCCUUUUUUUCUUCCCCGCUCAUACCCGCUCAUACCCGCUCUUCCGCCCUCCUUCCCCUUCUUUUCUCUAAGUGUCUCUGACUGGCUGUCCUAUUUGGAACUAAAGACUACCAUAAAGCGCUGCAACGGCACCACUCCCUCUCCUCCUCCCCCUCUUUCCAUCGUCGUCUUUUGUGUGCGUGUGUGCUUUUUUCUUCCUCCCUCUUUCUCUGCUUCCUAGUGCAUCGUUAUAACGCCGUUUUUUUUUUUGUUCAUUCGCUUCAUCUCUUUACUGCCGCCGUACCGUCACGGAUAUCUGGGCGCUUUUUUCUCUCAGUUUGCCUUGUGCAAUUGAAAGGCGUCGCGGUGACGUUGUGGCGAGUGGUGCGUGUAGGUGAGCAAGCGCCCUAAGGCGAGCCAGGGCGAUCGCUCUCUUUUUAUAUUCUGCAACGUUCUUCCAACCGCCGUCGAGGAGGCGCUGCGCACCGAGCUGAUCAUCUGCUCGCCCACCGCACACCUGUCCCGCUUCCCAUUUCACUUCUCUGGACACCUGCACUGCCCACUCGUCGCUUCGUCGCCAUCAAUUUUCGUGCUCGGUUGCUCGAUCGUGCCACCGACAUCGUCUCAUUCUCUUCCUGCUUUGCUCGGUCUAUCUCUUUCUUCUCGUGCGUGUCUGUUCGGAGCUCGCCCUCCCCCUCUCUUUUCCCUGUUCCUCUGUCUCUGCGUGUUGUCAACGUGACUUCCUUCUCCUCUUUUCUCUGUUGCUGUUGCCCUCUUCUCCCUUCCUUCCCCUCAUUGUACGUGUUUCUCUCUCUCUGGCCACAAUUCCCCUCUUGGUGCGGAGCGGAACCUUUCUUUGUUGUUGUCAUAUUCGUGUGAUCGACUUUCGUCUUGCGUCGCGGCUACUGCACACCCUCUAUACCCUCCUCCUACACGGUGGCUUGUUAGGCGCGCCAGCCGCAUCAUCACACGCAUCAUUGUGGCACCUUUUUAUUGAGGUGUCUGUGCAUCAGUCGCGCCACGGCCGUGGCUCCAUUUUCGCGCGUAUUCUUCUUGCGCCGCACUUCUGUGUGUCUGUGUGCACGCGCUCUCUCCCGCAGGUCGCACCUUCCCCCCUCUUACGAAGAUGUCUUCGGCGCACAAACCAACGACGCAGGAGGCGAUCAACUUCUUCAAGCAGUAUCGAGAGAAGUUCCAGCGUAGUAGCAGCGGGGGCAAUUUGCCUAGUCAAAAUAGUGUCAAUGCAUCUCCCCAACAGAACAUUGUGACGCAGGUGCAGCAGGUGGACGUGGUGCCUGACUCGACAACCCGCAGCAUUAUUCCGAUGAACCGCCGAAAUGGGACGACGACCACGCGGCUCGAUUUGCUUCGCAAGUCGCCCACGAACUGCUCGCCGUGCUUGGUUCAAGAAGUUGAGAUUAAGCCGCUGCUGCCGCCUCUGCCCUUUGCCUCCGUGCCGAAGGUGACGUUAGUGCUGGACGUGGAUGAGACGCUGGUGCACUCCACCUUUCAGCCAAGUUCGGAUGUCGUGUACGACAAGGUGCUGCUCGUGGCAUCGGAAGGGAAGACGUACACUGUCAGCGUCAAGUACCGGCCCUACCUGGAGGACUUUUUGCGCUUUGUGAGCCGUCGCUUCGAAGUAGUCAUUUUCACUGCUAGCAUGCGCGCCUACUGUGACAAGCUCAUGGACGAAAUUGAUCCGCACGGUAUUCUGGGCAACUUGCGUCUAUUCCGCGAGCAUUGUACCUUCUGCGAGCGCUCUUACGUCAAGGAUCUCCACCGACUCGGUCGCGAUCUUCGGAGAGUUGUCAUUCUCGACAACAGCCCAGCCGCCUACUCGUUUCAGCAGCGUAACGCCAUUCCCAUCAAGACGUGGAUCAACGACCCGAAAGACCGCGAGCUGUUCUUACUGCUCCCGCUUCUUGACAGACUCGCGAUGUGCGACUCCGUGUACAGCGAGCUUGAUCCGUACAACGCGAGGGGAUGGGACUACCUGUGAGGUACAUUCGACAGCUCAUAUGCGUGCGUUCUCCGCCCGUCGUUCACACUAUUGCAUCACCGUUCGGUGUCCGCAGCGUUGUCGAAGCGCUUCUCCAUGUCCGCACGUGCCAUUUCUCUCUCUGUGAUAAACUGCGUAGGAGUGCUUGUUUUCGCCUGCAGCGCGCCCGUCUUUCUGAGGCGGCCUCUUUUCCUCGUCUUUCCUGCUUUUGCGUGACUUUGCUGUGCGUGUGAUUUAUACUUCCUGCCCGUUCGGCGCUGAAAUUAACAGCAACAGGAGCCCGCCGAGUUCUGCAUUUCCUUUUCUCUUGUUCUCUUUUCAGAGCGCUGCUGUUCCACCGCUGGCUGCAUGUAUAUGAGGCGCUCUGUGUCACUAAUGAGAGCUUCUCUCCUCUCCUCUCUGUAGACGUGUGCCGACGCCUCUCACUUCUGCUCUCCUUGCAUGUGCGGUGCUUCUUGCUGGUAUUGCGGGAAGUAGUUUACACGGCAUGAUUACAUGUGUCGUUGAUGUCUGUGGCUUCGCUCGCGUGCACAUCUGAGUGCGUGCGCGCGCGAGAGACGCAGAAGUUUGAUCGUCUUUCGUGUUUUUCUUUUCCCUCUAUCGCCUAAUACUCGAUCGGCUAGAUGCGAUGUGUGAAGAUGCCACUUUGCUUGCCCCCCCCCCCCAUCCUCCCUCCCCUGUUUUUUCUUGACGUUGAGCGCCUAGGCAGUGUGCAUGUGAGCGUCAAGCUGCGGUGGCGAGCGAAUGACCAAGUCGCUUCCCAAUCGUCUUCACUGGUGCGUGUCUUCUCUCUGCGUUCCCCUCUUUUACUUUGUUUGUAUGCUGUGCCUCGUACCGUUCGCCUUCUCCGCCCUCCCCCCCGUAUGCAUGUGUGUAUGUCUAUCGGUCGCUUCGCGGAAGGGAAAGGGGAGACGGAUGCCGCACUCCGCUCCUCCACUUCAAAUGGCAUUUUCGCCUCCUCCGCUUCUGCCCGCUCGUUCAUCGCGUCUUCCUUGCCGAGCUCCAUCCUCCCCUAUCCGCUCUCUUCCUUUUUGGACGUGCUUUGUGCCGGGAGGUGAGAGCACGGGGAGCGAUAGACGCACAUGAACGCAUGCGCGCACAUGUAUACACUUGCACACACACGCACACACAACCCCACUCACACAUACAGACAGCAACAGACAUCUUUGUUUCCGUGAACCAGCCAUAACAUUGUUUUCCACUCAGGGGCUUCUUCUCUUCAUCAUGCGCCUCGUGCUCGCUGCGCGUCACGCAAAGCAGUCCUCCUCAACUGACGUCGCUAAUCGGAAACGGCGCACAUGUAGACAUCAGGAGAUGCAUGUUUCGAUGCGCAAGAGCGUUUUGUUUCGCUUCGUGCUCUUCCCCGGCUUUUCUCUGCGAUCAUCUCUUUUUUCGGUUGUUGUUUCCUCCUCGUUGCCGCCCUCUUUUUUUUCCUUUUUUUUUCUCGAAUUUCAUGGCUUCCUCUCCACUUGCUCCCCCACCCCUCUCACUCGUGCGCUGGCGCGCCCCUGUUCUCGUCUGCCUCGCCGACAUCUUUCUUUUUUCUCGCGGUGGCUUUCGUGCAUUACGACGAUGGUGGGUGGGUGUACAGUCGCCCACUGUGGGCGGUAUAAACAGGGUCCGGUGCUCGCACUCUCUGUGCGGGAGAAGCCAGUCGACCACCCAGCCCCUGCCCCUCUCCCUGCCGAUGCCGAGCCCCUCCCCCCCCUCCCUGCUGGUGGUGUCAGGGGGAGGCACCCACCUAGGUAGGGAUGCCAGAGCGAUGUGUGGCUGCUGAUGUCGGCGGUCGUGUCCUGGGGCGGCGUUGCGUCGGCGCGACCCGCGACCGUGGGCACGUCUGUGGCAUCCAUAUGAGAAUAGGCAAAGCAUCAGGGUGACUCGAAGGUACCUCACCCCUACCCCCGACCCACACACGCCCCACACCGGUGUGGGGAGGCUGAGCCACCGCGAGGGGGGGGGGGCGGGGAGGGAUGCGCGAGGUGGCGUCUGGGCAUCACAUGAGCGGCUGCGAGGCGACCUGCGGGGGCCGAGGUGUGAGUGGACAGAGUAUGAGGCCGAGGCGGUGCUUCGAUGAUCGGGCCGGCGCGCUGGUGUAGCGCGCGUGUGUCUACGGCUGCAUGGGCACCACACACGGGACGGGUCUGUGGCAGGCCGGAGAGGGCCGGGAGGGUAGAGGGACGUUUGACUCCUGCUCUAUUGCAGCAUGCAUAUACGGAAGAAGGCGAAAACGAAACGACGACGGGUCCCUUCUAUAACCUAAUCCUGGGUGCUUUGGACCCCGUGCGUACGCGUGUUUCUGGUGCCAUCUCUCUUUCUGGAUGUGUGCCGCCACGCUUGCCUGUGUAGUUUGGGCCAAGGUCCUGUCGAUUGAACGGUGCACACUUUUGUGUGCUUUUUUUUGUUCGUGUGUGUCUUCUCUUCCGUUCAUCCAGCUGUGUCGUUUUCUCAUUCGGUCGGCACGUAUGUAUGUAUUCGUGUUUGUGAGCAAGGAUAUCUUCAGGUGCGUCUGGGGUAGACGGUCUGUCUUUUUCUCCAGAACGUUUUCUCUCGCUGCGCCUUUCUCUAUCCUCUGCCUUGCUGCCUUUCCCCAUGCGGCUGCAAGGAAGGUGAAGGAAUACUUUCGGUGACGCUGAUGUUCUCUUCGGUGCGCACUCACGGCGACUCUCGUUGCUGUGGACCCCUUCUCGUUUUCUGUCUUUAUUGUGCAUGUGUGUUUUCUCUCUCUAUGUGUUUGACUCUUCGGCAUCCUUCCUCCGCAUUCACAGGCGCCCAUAGGCAUGCAUGCCGAUAACGUGUGUCUGCAUUUCCCGCUAUCCACCCACAUUUAGCCGUUGUUGCACACGCGUACAUGCCUGUCUGCUUUUGUGGUGGCUUGUGUGCGAAAGUGCGAUCUCUUUCAUCCUCCCUCCCCUUUUCUCUCUCGAUCGUUUCACUUUUAUGUGUCGUUUAUCCGCUUCUCUGCCUCUGUGCCCCUCCUCUUGUGUUGCUUCGGAUUCGGUCUCUAUAUGCCCCUCCCCCAGUGUAUCAUAUGCGCUAUAUGCAACUGCUUUGCCCCGGCGCUGACUUUUCUCUGAGUAGGCGGCUUUUGUGGCCUCUGCCUCUCUCUACGGUCGCCACCUGCAUUCGCUCUCCGCAGGUAGGUUUGCGCAGGUUGGCGGAUGCGCGGCGACAAGAAGAAAAGCAUAUGUAGUGGCACACACACACACACAGGCGAAAGGCUUGACCGCUGGCUAGCCUUACUCCCUGACUUCUGCAUCAGAGCUUGUUCAUGAGUACCGUGGUUCCUCUGCAGAGUCUGACACACGACAGGGGAUGACAAUAGCGUUGUACGAAGGGGCGCAGAAUCUAGGCAACAAACCGCAAGAAGCGCCAAAGUCGUUCAUGGUCGCCGCAGACAGCGUCCUUUCUCUACAAUCACUCAUUUUACGUGAGUUGAUCCGCCACGUGCACGCGCUCCCCUUCCCCUCCCUUCCUCAG
rnacentral:misc_RNA from 1 species